AACGAACGCUGGCGGCAGGCCUAACACAUGCAAGUCGAACGAGAAAGCACCUUCGGGUGUGAGUAGAGUGGCGCACGGGUGAGUAACGCGUGGGAAUCUACCCAGUAGUACGGAAUAACAGUUGGAAACGACUGCUAAAACCGUAUACGCCCUUCGGGGGAAAAAUUUAUUGCUAUUGGAUGAGCCCGCGUGACAUUAGCUAGUUGGUGGGGUAAUGGCCUACCAAGGCGACGAUGUCUAGCUGGUCUGAGAGGAUGAUCAGCCACACUGGAACUGAGACACGGUCCAGACUCCUACGGGAGGCAGCAGUGGGGAAUAUUGGACAAUGGGCGAAAGCCUGAUCCAGCCAUGCCGCGUGUGUGAUGAAGGCCUUAGGGUUGUAAAGCACUUUCGCUAGUGAAGAUAAUGACGGUAACUAGUAAAGAAGCCCCGGCUAACUUCG
rnacentral:rRNA from 1 species